GGCAAAUUUGGCAUGUGAUACCUUUUCGGAAAGCCCAGAGUGAGUCCUUCUGAUGAAAGAAGUCGGACAAUGGAACAUAUCCAUUGAUUUUUUGUCGAACUCCAAAUUUUGAACCUUUAGUUAAGGCGUGCUUGAGGCGAGAGUAGUAACUAGGAUGGGUGAACCUCCCGGGAAGUCCUUCGUGUUGCGUCCCUCUUUUUUUUUUUUUUUUUUUUGGUUAAAACUUUAUGACUCCAUAACUUAUAUACAG
rnacentral:rRNA from 1 species